CCCUUAAAGUCACCAUACUGUAAGUCAUACAU
rnacentral:scRNA from 1 species